rnacentral:tRNA from 1 species
AAUAGCAUGCUUGAUAAAAAGGUCGUCUUGAUAGGGCGAAUAAUGAAAGUCCACCUUUCUGCUAUUA